AGGAGCAUAGCGAGCCAACUUGUUUCGGCAUAUUCUACCUAAUUUCUUAGCGUCUCGCCAUUGCCAUUUUCCCUCUUCCUCCUUUCUCCCUUCUCUCUUUUCCUUCCCUUCAUACUUCGGCUUUACUACUUCGCUGCUUUGCAUAAUCCCUUUUUAGGUCGCAACGUAUCGCAGGCUCCUUCGGGCGGGCCAAGAAAAACUGAUGAUAUUAUUAACGACAAUGGAAAUUAACGAGGAGCGAAUGCGACGAUCAGAGAGAAAGUGUAAGAGAGAGAGAGAGAGAUGCAUAUGUAUAUGUAUAUAUAUAUAUAUAAAGAGAAAGAGAGAGAGGGCAGUGGAGAGGACAAAAAGGAAGCAUGUGCGCUUGAAUAUUAUUUCAUUGAUCUCACGAGCACGUUUUAUGAGCCGAUACGAAGAAACUUUUCCGCAGAGUAAAACAUCGUGCGCGUGGGCUGACCCUGUCUGAACUUUAGCGAAAAGUAAAAGGUGACUUUUCCGAGUUUUCUCGAACUGUCGACCGGAAUGAAAAGUAAAAAGAACAACAAUCGAUGGAUCGUAAUGAGUGCCCCUUACUCGUUAAAAUUGUUAGGGAGAUGUUUAGAUAGAUUUUGAUCAAAUUGAAGAGGAUAAAAUGCACUUUCUGAGUUAAAGAAAUAUAACUUUUCGAUAGUUUAUUUAAAACGUAAACAAAGGUAAUUAUAUGAGACUUUAGUUUAAAUGGUCCCACUUAAAAGGAAACAUUAUAACGAGACGCAUACCGACGAUAACAAAGUUGUACCAGCUAAAGUGGAUACAAUUAAAACACCGGUUAAAAUAAAUUAGCAUUACUUUCACUUUAUAUACAUAUAUUUGUUUAUGUAAUUUAUUUCCCAAUAAAUUAUAAAUGGUAAAUUACACUACUCGGAAACAUGAGCUUUCUCUGGUCAAAUCGAAAUAUCAAAAGCACUUAUUCCAACUACUGUAAUCAACGAUAACUUGGAAAAUACCAUUCUCACGUUGAAUAUGAUUUGAAGUAUCAUUAUUUUUGAGUUAAAUGGUGGUUAAUGGUUUGAUCGAAGGAAGGAAAAAAAUCGUUCGCAUGUACGUACGUCACGAUUACUUUAAUACGAGACUUCUCGUCGAGAAAAGAAAAGAGAAAAUUUGGCGCGUUUGAAGGGUUAAAAAUGAAAUGGAAGAAAAAAAAAAAGAAAGAAGAGAAAAAGAAAAAAGGAAAAAAGAGAACAAAUAAGAAAAGGCGCGGAGAUGGAAGGAAAAAAAGAAAAAUAAAAAGUAGAAAAAAAGAAGAGAAGAGGAAAAAGGUAAAAGUCGCGAAAGGUAUGCACGCACUCUUGCGCGGUACAAUGGAUUCAUCUUGCACCGUCAACCUUUCACUUUUGUUCUUCCCUUUUUCUUGCUUGUCGAAAUGCGCCGGCUUCUAACGCGAAUAUAGCGAUAUGCCGGAGCUAAAGGUUGAAGGGAGGGACUGAACGAGAGAGGGUAAAAGAGAAAGAGAGUGGAAUGUGAAGCCGGGUGCAUGGUGCACCGCAUCGUAGUUUUGUUUUGUUUGUGAACCUAGUGAA